AUAUGAUGAUGAUGAUGAUGAUGAUGAUGAUACUACCAUAAGCGUAAUCAAUCAUUAUCAUCAGCAGCAGGA
rnacentral:miRNA from 1 species